CCCUGGCCCUGUGGCGGCCCCGCCUGGCCGGGCCCGGGCGGGGUCUGGGUCUGGCUGGGGAGGGUGAAGUCGGUGAACUCGAACUCGGAGCCCUGCGUGUCGGCGCCGAGCAGCUCGGCCUCCUCGGUGUCCAGGAAGGAUAAAGCCUGGCCUGAAUCAACAUGUUCCAGACCUGCAGCUGCUGGGCUGAAAAGAUGGAGACUGGAAAACAUCCUUAUCCUGGGAAUAUUGUGCAGCAAAAGGAGGGGAAAAAACAAAUCCAGAGAACACAGGACUCACCACUUCUGCAGAGAGACUGAAUUCAUCUCGUUUUUAAGUAGAAUCAACCGUUCAGAGCAAAGAGCAACGGGGAGAAAGCUUGAAAUAACAUUUGAGGAUGAAAGUAGAACCAGAGGGGAGGGGAAAAAAAAAAUAAAUACUACAAAGCCAGGUGGCAGCUUGCUGCAAACACUUUUUAUUUAUUAAUAAACACAACACACUCCAAACCUUUGGCUGCUUGGCAGAAUCCUCAAAAGUCUUGGAAAGGGAUCAAAGUUCUGCUGCUCCGCCGGCUUCCUCUCGCUGUCCCUGCCGCAGCUCGGGGGAUAAGGGUGUGGAAAAGCCCCUCGCGUGCCAGCAGCGGUGGCUCUGUCCCCUCAGGGUGGCCUUGGGGACGCUUUGGUGCUGCUGUCUGAGGUGCUGAAGCCGCAGGAGCGGCUGGGAAAGCAAACUCGGGAUUCUCUUUGCACACGUGGAUUUCGGGAUCGUUCUGCUCCAGCGCUUGGAAGCCACUUGGAAGCUUUUUAAGGGUGAAAUGGAUGCAGAGGCAGGCUGCAGAGCUCCCAGGCUGUGUGGGUUUUGGGUUUUUUUUGGUGUUUUGUGUGAGUUUUCUCCCUCAAAGCCGGGCUGCUGCAGAGGAGAGGCUGUGACUCACUGGGCUUUGCCUGCUGUGCAGCCGGUGUGGAAUUUAAACCAGGCAAAAAACUGGCACGGCUCCCUGCCAACGGCGCCGAGCUCCCCUGCAGAUCACAAGCUGGAAUUGAGGAGAGAAGAAAACGUUUAAUUGGGGAUAAAUAUUCCCUGAACAAGUCACGGGGAUGUGAGUCCCUGAAGGAAAAGGAGGAGAAGAUUUUGGCCAAGAUCCAGGGGUUUUGAAUGAAGAAAGUUCUCAGAAAUUAUGGUGAGUGACAUUAAAAGAUAGCAAAUAAUAGAAGAUAACAGAUAAUAAAAGAGAAAUAAUAAAAGAUAACAGCAGGAGAUGAAAAGGAAAUGAAACUUGGUGCUCUAAACCAGCUCCAAAUGGAUACUAAAAAUAAAUAAAUAUAUAAAUUCCAAUAAAUUGGGGUUGAAUAUUAAAAUAAGAGUUAAAAAUACUGAUUUUCAGCAGGAAACUUGACAUCCUUCCCUCCAAAAAUUGUGUUAAAAAUCCCUUUCCUUGAAAAGAGCUGAGACAACAGAACAGGAUUCAAGGAAUUAAUACAGAGAAAAAAGCUUUUUAUGGACAGAACUUGUGCCUUUUGUGGGUUCAGAAUCACCAUGUGAAGUUAAAACUCACUAAGAAAAAGCCAAGGGGUUCCUAAAAUCCAAGGAAAAACUGCUGGAAUUCCUGAAUUCAUUCAAGGAGAUCUUUGGGAGGAUCUGUUCCCUGUUAAAGCUGCCUCUGGAAGGAGCAGAGCUGUUCAAAAUC